UGAGGAAUUUUCCGCAAUGGACGCAAGUCUGACGGAGCAACGCCGCGUGCAGGAAGAAGGUCUUCGGAUCGUAAACUGCUUUUACCGGGGAAGAGAAAGGACGGUACCCGGUGAAUAAGCCCCGGCUAACUACGUGCCAGCAGCCGCGGUAAUACGUGGGGGGCGAGCGUUAUCCGGAAUUAUUGGGCGUAAAGGGCAUGCAGGCGGUCUGCCAAGUUCAUACUGAAAGUUCUCGGCUUAACCGAGAGAGGCGUAUGAAAACUGGCAGACUUGAGAGCGAGAGAGGGACACGGAAUUCCAGGUGGAGCGGUGAAAUGCGUAGAGAUCUGGAGGAACACCAAUGGCGAAGGCAGUGUCCUGGCUCGUUUCUGACGCUCAAAUGCGAAAGCCAGGGGAGCGAACGGGAUUAGAUACCCCCGUAGUCC
rnacentral:rRNA from 1 species